rnacentral:misc_RNA from 1 species
GAUGAAGAACGCAGCGAAAUGCGAUACGUAAUGUGAAUUGCAGAAUUCAGUGAAUCAUCGAAUCUUUGAACGCAUAUUGCGCUCUCUGGUAUUCCGGAGAGCAUGCUUGUUUGAGUAUCAGUAAACACCUCAACUUCCAUAUCUUUUUUUGAAAUGGGAGUUGGACUUGAGUGAUCCCAACGCUUUUCCUCACCGAAAAGUGGCGGGUUACUUGAAAUGCAGGUGCAGCUGGACUUUUCUCUGAGCUAUAAGCAUAUCUAUUUAAUCUGCCUAAAAAACAGAUUAUUACCUUUGCUGCAGCUAACAUAAAGGAGAUUAGUUCUUGUGCUGACUGAUGCAGGAUUCACAAAGACAGCUUCGGCCGACUUUGUAAACUCGAUCUCAAAUCAAGUAAGACUACCCGCUGAACUUAAGCAUAUCAAUAAGCGGAGGA